rnacentral:lncRNA from 1 species
UGCGAGUAUUGGUCUGAAGCAGGCUUGAAUCUUUGUGCCCCAGAGGCUAGAGAAGGAGGAGUGUGUCACCCAUCUGGAGGUCAGACAAGGCGACAGACUUCCAGGCUUGAGCACCAGUUCUGCUGCUGGAACACAAGGAUGAAGAGUUUCUUCAGACACUUCAUGUGCACUUUUCCUAGGAGAUUGUGAACUGGAGUGCUCUGGCAUGUUUGCCUUGCUCACCAGGCCAGAGAUGCAGUGGGACAAGUGACAAAGGGGACAAUUCAAAGAUCAGACCAUCAAAGAGCAAUGAUGCCUUCAGAAGAGAAGUUUGGCAAGUACAUAAAGGAUUAUAUUUAAUUAUACUUAAAUUUGAUAGUACUAGGAUUUUAUUCUCUAGGACAAAACUUUCAUUCACAGUUGCAGCAAUUUGCACUUUUCAGCAGAAAAGAGCUUGUUUGAUUCUGUUACUCAGCAUCAGCUCUGACGGACAAGUGUGGUGCCUGAGCAAAAAAAAAAAGCUGAGAAGAAAGUGGAAGAGGGAGAAAAUAAAAACAGGUGGCAAGGGGCCCAGGAACAAUAAAAGCCUGAAUGAGAACACCUUUAUCACUUUUGCAACAGCAGCUUAAAGGCCCAAGGAGAGAAAUAGAUUUUGUAAAUCAGACUAAAUAUUUUUUACAGGGUGCAGUGUGCAGCUUAAGAACCCAGCUGGGAAAAAUAGCUCCUGCAAAUCAGUGAAGAAACCAUAUUUUACUGGCUGCUGUUUAGGAGCAAGGAGAG